UGGGGAAUAUUGCACAAUGGGCGCAAGCCUGAUGCAGCAACGCCGCGUGAACGAUGAAGGUCUUCGGAUCGUAAAGUUCUGUUGCAGGGGAAGGUAAUGACGGUACCCUGUGAGGAAGCCCCGGCUACCUACGUGCCAGCAGCCGCGGUAAUACGUAGGGGGCUAGCGUUAUCCGGAUUUACUGGGCGUAAAGGGUGCGUAGGUGGUCUUUCAAGUCGGUGGUUAAAGGCUACGGCUCAACCGUAGUUAGCCUCCGAAACUGGAAGACUUGAGUGCAGGAGAGGAAAGUGGAAUUCCCAGUGUAGCGGUGAAAUGCGUAGAUAUUGGGAGGAACACCAGUAGCGAAGGCGGCUUUCUGGACUGCAACUGACACUGAGGCACGAAAGCGUGGGUAGCAAACAGG
rnacentral:rRNA from 1 species